CAUAUAGAAUUUAUUAUAAUAAAUGGGAUAUAAAGAAAAAUAGAACAAAGGAAACUUAUAAUCUUCACAUUCCCUCUACCCGCUUUUCACUUUUCCCUUUCUGUUAUUUCAUUUUUCUUUUCCUCUUUUCCAAAACCGGCAUCAGCAUUCGAUCAAACAUGGUAGGAAAACAUAAACCUACGAUGGCACCUCUAUAUAGCCAUGGAAGCGUCGUCGUGAGACUCGGAAACCAACAUUAAACUCCUAACCGAACAAUCACUCUUAAACCCAGAUUCGAAAAAAAGUAGAUUUACAAAACAAAGAAGAAUUCCAAGAGCCAAAUCGGAGAACAACAACAACUAGAAGCCUAAGUUUUCAGCUUAAAAUCAAAACCAUGGCAACAACAGUUUUAUGCAAUAAUCAUGGGGUUUGCGUUCUAUGAAGCAAUGCGAACAAGAUGGUAACCUCAAAUCAUGCAAAGGAGAAGUUUAAAUACCAAAUCGGAGCUAGUCCGACGUUCGAACUCCGGUCAAGGCGAGAGGUCUAGCUCGAGCUUGUUGAGCUUCGAUGUGAAAAUCUCAACAAGUUCAAAACGGAGCUUUUUUAAUGAGGGUUUUGGAGUGAUUUUUCCAGAGUAACAGUGCAGAAAUUCGGUCCCCUUACCCUAACGAUGGAGGGUCCUUAUAUAGAGCUUUGGAGGUACGAGGUUUCUUUCUCCUCUGUCAUGAGCUGGCAAAUCUAUCCAAAAUCAUUCCGUUAGAGAGGAAUUUUUGGGCUGGAUUUGGUGGGGACCAAGGUAUGUGAGUCAUUUCCUCAAUUUGUCUGUAGUGAAAUCCACCAAACAAUGUGGUCCUGUAUUAGUUCAUUUUUACUGUUGUGGAAAACUUGCCUGCUUGUGGUAAAAAGUUCAGUUUUUACUGUCAUGUCUUGCACUUGCAUCGUGUGUUGUUAUCGUUGCAUUUCCUUGGCUGAAAAGGCUUGUGCUUCUUCUGUUUUGACUCUGUUUUUUCGUUGCUGUAGCAGCUUUUAAUUUAGACUUCCACCUUGCAGCUCAUGGUUCAUGUGUUUAUGUGAGCAUAUGAUGGAUUUACAUUAUUCAUAAUUCCAUGGUUGGUUAGCUCGUUUGGUUUCAAUGCCUGAUUAGGAAGCUAUUUGGUUAUCCAUUUGAUUGAUGUUGCAGGUUGCAGUUUAUUCUUCUUGGAUGGUUUGAACUUUUUCUUGGAAUUUUGGACAAUGCCCUCUGCAUUUCAUCCUUCUCUUAAAAGCCUUUAACCAAAACUUCCUUGGGUUGCUUACGAUGUUUGGCUUCUAUUCUGCAGGUUACACACAUUUUCAGGAAAAUAUCUUGCAGACUUACAAGAGGAGUGGCAAUAUUGUAGGUCUUAGUUGCAACAACUAUUGUUGUUUAAGAGACACAGGCUGAUGAUGCUGCCACUGUGACGCCUGCCAUUGUUGUUGCUUCACUAGUUGACUGGUUACACCAGAAUCAGGAGUUCUACUGAACCCAUAUGGUGGCAGAUGAUGUUCUUACCGUUGAUGCUCAAAUGACCUCCAAAAAGAAGUAUCAAUUCAGGGAAAAUUGGGGAUGCAUGUGUGAAGCUUAUUCCCUUCCAGUAACACCAAAACGGUUGGUAAGUGAAUCUGAUAUAAUUACAGAAGGAGCAGGUUCGGUACUUCUCGUUCCCAUCCACUUCUUCCUUCUGUACCUUUUAGCAGGUUUUUUCUGAUUGUUUCAAGUGUGAUGAUGUGUUUAUCUAGCAACUUUGGUUCAUUUCACUGAUAUGUCGCUGCUUGACUAGGUUGAAAAUUGAUUGUGUAAUAUGCUCACUGAUAUGCCUUGCCUCAAUUUCCUUUCACAUGGGUUGCUCCUUUAUUGGUUUCAAUCCUGUCUAUUGGCUUUGUUUGUUUCCUCACCUUAUUGCUUAUUGAUGGGAACUAAUGGCAAUAUUAUGGGAUUAAAGACUGCAACCUUUGUUGAUGAUUUGGACUGCUUGCUGCAAACUGAUAUGCUAAUAUUGCGGACUUGCAUUUCUACUCGAUGCAGGUUUUGUUCAAAUUCUGGCUUGCUGCAGCAGGCUUAUGGAUAUUGCAUUGUUGCUGACUGCAUUACUUCAUAGUUUUGUGAGGUGCAGUUGCCCUUGAGCAUACAUAGAUGAGUUUCCUCUUUGAGAUGCUCCUCAUGGCUUGUGGCUUCAUUCUCAUAACAUGCUCCUGUCACAUUACACGACUUCCAUAGGAUGCCAACUGUUUGUAUUGAUCUUCCACUGUUGCUCACAUGUUGUUUGAUAUUGUUGAUCACAUGUUUUUCAUAUUGUUGCUCAGUAUGAGUGUAGGCAAAUGGUCAUUGCGUAUGUCUGUAAGGUUUUGAACUGGUUUUGGACAGGUUAAGGCAUGGAUUUCUGACAGGUUUUGAAUUGGUUUUGGACAGGUUAAGGCAUGGAUUUCUGACAGGUUUUGAAUUGGUUUUGGACAGGUUAAGAUAUCUUGUACGGGUGAAUGCACAACUUAACGGGAAUGGACCGGACGUUGAAGAUCAACAAUCAGACACUCUUUUAUUCAAAACUUUAAUCUUUCUUGACACAAGUAAUGUAACAUGGUGUUUAACAUGGUGUAGCAUACUUAGAAUAUGUGUUAACUCAUGAAAAAUUAUCACAUGCUUGUAAUUUUACUAGCUGUUCCGUGAUUUUGAUGCCUAUAGGUAUUUCCUUGGGCACUUUUGCUUUGCCAUUUGUGAAUACUGAUUUGGAAUUUGUAAUGUAAAC